GUCGAAAUAGCUCAGUUGGGUGAGCGUUGGACUAUAAAUCGAAAGGUCCCUGGUUCAAUACCGGGAUUCGGCA
rnacentral:tRNA from 1 species